ACGGUCUUCCCAGGCCCGUAUCUUUGCUUCUGUGAGGAGCGGGACCCCGGAAUGGCCGAGAAGGGCAAUUAAGAGGGCGAGACGGGUCAGAGGACUUCCGCCCUGGCUUCCGAACUGGCCGAGGUGGAGCAGGGUUUCACAUUGGUGACCUGUGCUGUGCUCGCCAGUUAACCGUGGCAGCUUUUCUUUGCGGGCGUAUGUUUUUGGGAAAUGCUGGAAUAGUCGGGGACGCUGAAGUUCUCAAUGUCUUUGUGGGACUCUCCUCUUUCAAGAGAGGGGGACUGAGAAGCAGAGAUUAUGGCUGCUGUGUUUUUUGCAGUUGGACCUUUGAGUUCUGA
rnacentral:lncRNA from 1 species